rnacentral:tRNA from 1 species
CGGGCCUUAGUACAAUGGAUAGUAUACCGGGUUUCUACCCCGCCAAUGAGGGUUCGAUUCCUUCAGGCCCGACCA